GUGGACUGUAGAAUAUAAUACUGCAGUGCUGCUGGUCAAUGGUCUACUACUCUCAGAAAGGUGUAGCAGGAGACCCUGGGACCAGAGGGUUUGAAGGAAAGAAGGGAGACAUUGGUCCAAUGGGAAAUGUUGGACCACGUGGGUCUCCUGGUCAAGAUGGGUUACCAGGGCAACCUGGUGUACCUGGAUAUCCAGGGAAACCUGUAAGUAAACAAGUCACUUCUUCGAGAAGCUGAUCGCUCCACCCUCCAGAUGUUCAACUACAAAUUGUCAUCAUGUUUUGGCCUUUCAGGGAAAACCACCAUCAGAUGAGCACUUGAUGAAGCUUUGUAGUAAUGUGCUGCGCAAUCAGUUGCCUCAGCUGCUUCAGACUAUGGGGCCAAGGAGUUGCCAGCCUUGCGAAACAAUCAAUGGACCCCGUGGCGAACCUGGGCCUCCUGGUCCUAAAGGCCCAGCUGGACCCCCAGGGUAUCCUGGCAGAACUGGAUCCCAGGGUUACCCUGGCCCCCCAGGCAUCCAGGGGCCCCAAGGCAUAAAAGGAGAUACAGGACCUAGGGGGCUGAAGGGUUCCAAAGGCGAAUCCCACCCUGGAUUGCCUGGCCCUCCUGGACCAAUAGGUCCCCAGGGCCCUCGUGGCCAAGCUGGAGAGGGUCUUCCAGGGCCAGUUGGAAGCCCAGGAAACACCGGAGCACCUGGAAACCCAGGCAAACGGGGUCCCCCUGGCCCUGCUGGAGUGUGCGACAUGUCCUUAUGCUACCAGGCUUAUAGUACCAGGGAGAACCGCUUCAGCAAAGGGCCAAAUAUCUAGUGUAACAAGAGGAUUCGAGAAAAUUUCACCUCCUUAUGAAGAGGAACCCACUUGGUCAGAACUUAGUGGGGUACUGGAGGUUAUCUGCAGUGAAGAAAGGGAAGUUACUGAAACUCAAGAAGAAAUGAGUCAUUGUGAUCCAGUUAAUACUAUGUGAAAAAAAUGGGCUUGUUUUUUUUAAUGUAGUUACUGAACAAAAAGAAGAUUGUUUUAUGUGUGUAUAUAGUCAGUGCACUGCCUUAGUUGAGCUACCUCUGUGCUAAACUCAAGGCCAUUCAUAUUACAGUGGUUUACUGUACAUGCAGCAUGUAUUUCAGAUUACUUAGGAAAAAUCAUUUUCUUCAUUUGAGUAAACCAAGUGUAUUUUCCUCUUUCCUUUUUUACAUGGCGGCUUUCUUGUGCACGUUACAC
rnacentral:lncRNA from 1 species